CUCCUACGGGAAGCAGCAGUGGGGAAUCUUGCACAAUGGGCGAAAGCCUGAUGCAGCAAUGCCGCGUGAGUGAUGAAGGCCUUCGGGUUGUAAAUCUCUGUCGGGUGGGAAAAACGGGUUCAUGGCUAAUAUCCAUGAGCAGUGAUGGUACCACCAAAGGAAGAGGCGGCUAACUCUGUGCCAGCAGCCGCGUAAUAC
rnacentral:rRNA from 1 species